rnacentral:rRNA from 1 species
CACGUAGGGCGCAAGCGUUGUCCGGAAUUAUUGGGCGUAAAGAGCUCGUAGGCGGACUGUACGUCUCUGUGAAAAGCCAUGAGGUACCUUACCGUCGUCUGCAGUGGAUACGGGAGACUAGAGGUAGGUAGGGGAGAAUGGAAUUCCCGGUGUAGCGGUGAAAUGCGCAGAUAUCGGGAGGAACACCGGUGGCGAAGGCGGGUCUCUGGACAGUUCCUGACGCUGAGGCACGAAGGCCAGGGGAGCAAACGGGG